rnacentral:rRNA from 1 species
UACGGGGGGGGCAAGCGUUGUUCGGAAUUACUGGGCGUAAAGGGCUCGUAGGCGGCCAACUAAGUCGGAUGUGAAAUCCCCAGGCUCAACUUGGGAACUGCACCCGAUACUGGAUGGCUUGAAUCCGGGAGAGGGAUGCAGAAUUCCAGGUGUAGCGGUGAAAUGCGUAGAUAUCUGGAGGAAUACCGGUGGCGAAGGCGGCAUCCUGGACCGGCAUUGACGCUGAGGAGCGAAAGCUAGGGGAGCAAACGGG